GGAACCUGCCCAUAAGAGGGGGAUAACAUCCGGAAACGGGUGCUAAUACCGCAUAGGUGAUCAUAGCGCAUGCUUAGAUCAUUAAAGAUGGCUUCGGCUAUCGCUUAUGGAUGGCCCCGCGGCGUAUUAGCUAGUUGGUGAGGUAAUGGCUCACCAAGGCUGUGAUACGUAGCCGACCUGAGAGGGUGAUCGGCCACACUGGAACUGAGACACGGUCCAGACUCCUACGGGAGGCAGCAGUAGGGAAUCUUCCACAAUGGGCGAAAGCCUGAUGGAGCAAUACCGCGUGAGUGAAGAAGGUCUUCGGAUCGUAAAGCUCUGUUGUUAGAGAAGAACAAGAGGUGUAGUAACUGGCACCUCCUUGACGGUAUCUAACCAGAAAGUCACGGCUAACUACGUGCCAGCAGCCGCGGUAAUACGUAGGUGACAAGCGUUGUCCGGAUUUAUUGGGCGUAAAGCGAGCGCAGGCGGUCUUUUAAGUCUGAUGUGAAAGCCCACGGCUCAACCGUGGAGGGUCAUUGGAAACUGGAAGACUUGAAUGCAGAAGAGGAAAGUGGAAUUCCAUGUGUAGCGGUGAAAUGCGUAGAUAUAUGGAGGAAC
rnacentral:rRNA from 1 species